rnacentral:pre_miRNA from 1 species
CUGUAAACCACUAGGGGAUCCUGUUAAAAUGCAGAUUCUGACUCAGUAUGUCAGCUAGAGCCCAAGAUCCUGCAUUUCUAACAAGCUCCCAGGUAAUACUGAU